rnacentral:tRNA from 1 species
GAGUUUAGCAGAGCAUGGGACUCUUAAUCUCAAGGUUGUGGGUUCGAGCCCCACGUUGGGCA